UGGGGAAUAUUGGGCAAUGGGCGCAAGCCUGACCCAGCAACGCCGCGUGAAGGAAGAAGGCUUUCGGGUUGUAAACUUCUUUUGACAGGGAAGAGCAGAAGACGGUACCUGUCGAAUAAGCCACGGCUAACUACGUGCC
rnacentral:rRNA from 1 species